AUGUCCUCACGAUCUCCUUCCUUUCCUCCUGAUCUCCUUUCCUUUCCCGCCCUUCUGAUUUCCUUCCUUUUCACGCGCCUUCCAAAUUUUUGGGCAAAAAUAAUGCUUGAAUUGGGAUUUGAACUCUGGUCUGCAGGUAAUCAACAAAGGGAGCUAACCACCUCACCUAUGACACUCAUUGUUGAACAAGCUAAGGAAAAUAUUGUUUUGACAUGUUUUGCCUUUAAUAUUUUAGCACUGAAAAACUUAUGUUUCACCUAUCAAACCUGGCACAUAAACUUUUCCCGUGGUAAAUUCUCCAUCACUACCACGAUAAAUGAUGCGCCACCAACAUGA
rnacentral:rRNA from 1 species